ACCACCUUGGAAUUGCCCAUUUUCCAGAUGAUCAAAUGAGGUUUCUGGAGGUGAAGUGACUCUUCCAUCUCCCAGAGCAGCAGCUCCCAGCCAGAGUCGGCUCUGCCUGCACCCAAGACCUUGGCAAAGCAACCAGAGCCAGAAAGAACCACGAGAGAAGCUUUCAAUGACUUUCAGCCACUUUGUCCCCCUUUGUUUCUCUUCUCCUCUCCUGCAUUUUUCUCCAUCUCCAGGUACAGUUCAGGAUGUGGAUGCCUGUCCCCACACAAAAACACUUGGGAUUCAUUCCUCAUACCACAAUUCAUCCCGAUUUUCCCCCCUUUAAAGUCAGAUCUCACCUACCUGUUUGGUCAGAGAUGUGUGUUUUAAAAUCCCCAAGGAAGGAGGCAGGGACUGUGCCCUGAGAUGAUUGUUGGUGAAGUGGAUUUAUGCCUAAUUUCAGUUUAAGAGAAUGUUGCUGUGUCUCUGCCUAGGACAGGCAGCCCGCUGUGGCCCUGGGUGAUGAGGAAAGGCCACAGAGGCCCAGGGUUUUAUCACCUGUGGCUGCCAGUGUCUGCAGAGCCAGAAUUGAGCUAAUCCAUGAAAGAAUGAGCGCUGGUGGGCAGUUGUAUGGCAGGUUGCUAUGGGGCUUCUUGAUCUCUCAAAUUCCAGGUGACAAGAUCAAUGCAUCCUUGAGGGGCCCCUUCCCAGCAGGCUCUGGUGGCUACAAACUGGUUCAGGUGUGGAAGAUCAUACCACUUUACCUUUGGUUUUUCUUUGAAAAGCAAACAACGAAAGACAGAUGAAAACAAGAAUUCUACCCGUGGGCAGGCAAGAAUUCUCUUCGGGAAAAGGGAUGUUUGUGGCUCUUCCACACAUUGGCCUUGAAAGAGGUUGUUUGCAGAGUGGCUAUUAUUAAAAUGUCCAAAAAAUAGAAAAUGCUGGUGAGGCUGCAGAGGAAAGGGAAUGCUUAUACACUGUUGGCCAGAGUGUAAAUUAGUUCAUGGAAAAAUUAUAAAGAAAGCAGUUUGGAGAUUUCUGAAAUAAUUUAAAACAGAACUACCAUUCCACCCAGCAAUUCCUUUACUGGGCAUUUACCCAAAGGAAAAUAAUUGUUCUGCCAAAAAUACACAUGCUCUUGCAUGUCCAUCACAGCAGUAUUCACAAUAGCAAAGCCAUGGAAUGAACCUAGGUGGCCAUCAGCGGUAGACUGGAUAAAGGAAAUGUGGUACAUAUACACCAUGGAAUACUAUGCAGCCAUGAAAAGAAUGAAAUCAUGUCCUUUGCAGCAACAUGGAUGGAGCUGGAGACCAUAAUCCUAAGCAAAUUAACAUAGGAAUGGAAAACCAAAUAUCAUAUUCUCAUGUAUAAGUGGGAGCUGAGCACUGGGUACACAUGGAUGUAAGACGGGAACAGUAGACACUGCAACUACUAGAGGGAAGAGAGAAGGAGGGUGGAAAGGGCUGAAAAACUACCUAUUGGGUACUGUGCUCACUGCCUGAGUGACGAGAUCAUUUGUGCCCCAAACCUCAGCAUCACACAAUAUACCCGUGUAACAAACCUACACGUGUACCCCCUGAAUCUAAAAUAAAAGUUGAAAUAAUUUUUUUAAAACAUAGGGCCUGGGCCAGAAGCGGUGGCUCAUGCCUGUAAUCCCAGCACUUUGCAUCACUUGAGGUCAGGAGUUCAAAACCAGCCUUGCCAACAUGGUGAAACCCUGUCUCUACUAAAAACACACACACAAAAAAUUAGCUGGGCACGGUGGUGCACGCCUGUAAUCCCAGCUACUUGGGAGGCUGAAUCACUUGAGCCCUGGAGGCGGAGGUUAUAGUGAGCAGAGAUCAUGCCAUGGCAUUCCAGCCUGGCUGUAGUUGAGCCAGAAGGAGAUAUUUUGUGUGAAGGCUGAGGUGGGGGCUCUUCAGAGCCUCUGUGAGCAGGAGGCCUAAGCCGUGGUGGUGGACAGAGUUGUAGCUUUCUGCCUCUUUGCCCUUUGGCAUGGACCCACAGGUGAACAGUACCAGCCUCCAUCCCCAGCACACGCUCUGCAGACCUUCACGUCUCACAGUUCCAUGUGAGCAAAUGGACUGGGAAAGCUGUGUGGCCUGAGAAAAGGCAAUGCCAUGGCCUGGCUCUCACACAGUAUUUUGUCUUGGAUUUUGAAAAAGCCUUUUUUUUUUUAAAUUUAAUUUAAUUUUUUUUUUUUUUUUUUUGCUUGUUUUGUGUUUUUGGUGGUGGUGGUGGUGGUGGUUUAUUUCACACUGACCACUUGGAACAAAUCCCAUGGUUAUCUGUGAUUUUCAUGCCCUGUUUCUGCUGGCAACCCUUCUGAGUGGGGUGACUCACUUUCCUGUAUAAAGAGUUUGAGUAGCCCAGGUAGGAGGUGGAAGCAGCCAUCUGGAAGGCCAUUGGGAUCCUUAUGUCUGUCUCUUGGCUUCAGAUAACCAGCUGGGCUUUGAUAGGAAUGAUCUGAAUGGAGACAGAAAACAGUGAAAACUAACGCUCCCCGCCCAGCCCUGUUUAUAUGAAGCAUUUGGUUCCUCUCUUGACUCUUGAGUGAUGAUGAGAUUCAGACGAGGCAUUGACAUUAUGGUAAGAAAGGGAGAAAAUGUAUCUGUCUUGUCUGUCUAUCUAUCUACUGGAUAUAUAGCUCCAAAAGCAGACAAACCCAAGGCCGUAAGGUGAACUAGGGUCUGCGUUUGGACUCCAUGAAAACAAAAUCCAUGUUGAACAAAGUGAUGUUUGUAUGCAGUGACAUUCUGGGUGACCCGUGUGUAUCUGUCCAUCGUGUGCAAGCCCUGAGCCCUGUUUCCCUCGGAAGAUAGUGAGUGGUAGCCAUCUCCUCACACGAACCACACAUGUGGAGCACAGAUGGCCCUCUCAAGGUAAUUGAUCUUACACAUUUACUGUUCACCAAACAAGUGUCUGAUGCAUACUUGGGUAUAUUCCACAGCAUGUGGACUGCGGUCCCCUGUGUUUGCCAGGAAUGCUGUGCUCCAUGUAGAGGUUUUCCUCUACUCCUCACUGCAAUUUGCAUGCUGCUCCAUGGACACUUGGAGGCCUGUGCUCUGUUCCCUGUAACUGGAAAUGUGCUCUGAACUUGUCUGUCUCCCUUGGCUGCUCCUGGCCCUUGGUACCAGCUCCCAUGGGUGUCCACAACCACUUGGGACAGAAGGUAAAGGUGGAAUUUCAAAGAGAAGCUUGCUUGGAUCUUCAGUGACAAGCUUGGAUGAGCUACAUCCCUAACAUGGGCCCUCUCAGAAUUGCCAGGAGGAGGCUUUGGCAGGUGUCACAGGUGUCACGGGGCCUGCCCUCCUCUGCUGCGUGCAGUGGAUGCAAGCCAGCCAACGUGUGGCCAGAGUGGCUGGAUGGUGUCACAGCCCUCAGAUGUCUUUCCUUCCACGUUUUUAAAAGAGUCCCAAAUAACUCACUUGAAGUGUCUCAAAGGUCAGAGUGGGGAGCUGGUGUUAGCUGUGGGAUUCACUGCAGCGUCCUACCACAAAGGCAAAGAAGAUGAAAAUGCAGCGUGCAGUGCUGGGCUUGAUUCCCAAGUCGCAGUCGGGCUCCCGCUAUGGUAGGUGGAACAUCUCUCUAGCCUGCUCACAGAGAUGGAACUAGGGAAUUGAGGGAAGAGUUAGGGGGCCAGGGAGAUUUACUUGAGUCUGAUUUUCCAGGUGAAUGAGAAGGGAGGGCUUGGUGCUGACACAUUCUUGGGAGAGGCAUGUCAUCACCAACAGCAUUUGUCAUGAUUGUUGUAUUUUAGCAAUAAGAUUCAGCUCGUCAGAUUUUUUGGGCCACCUCGAAGAUGCUGACACAUUUUCUGUGCUGUGAUUGUUCGAAGGCAGAGUAGCUCUAACCACUGUGAGAAGCCCAAAGAAAAAUCAAUACCACCCACCCAAAGACCACCUUUCUGAAACACUUUUCUCUAGAAAACAGUGCCCCUUUUGUCCUAAGCUUCGUAUUAUUUUUGGAUUCCAUCUCUUUGUAUAUGCUACUCUAGUGUACCAUGGAACACAUUUUGGGAGCUGGCGGCUCUGCUUACCCUUCAGGGGGACAGCCCUGUCUGACCUGAGAUUGGAGGAUGCUUUCCAGUGUGAAGGAGUGUGAGGGAGCCGGCACAGACACAGAGUGAGAGCAGGGCCACUUUAUUGGUAUAGAGACUGCAGAGGGACCGGGGGCUUUAGCUGUUGGCAGCGAUGGUG
rnacentral:lncRNA from 1 species